UCUGAAGAACCACGGACUAGCCAUACCC
rnacentral:piRNA from 2 species